UCUGCCUUUUUCAAUGUGUAAAUUGUGGUUAGAAAUUCUUAAUUUACAUAAUUGUCUAAUAUAUUGUUUUGAGAUAUUUAACUUUGUAUAAGUCUCAGGUCUAUAUUCCUUUUUUAACUUGUAAUAUGUGCGUAGUUUGUUUUGCUUUUCACCUGACAAACAUGAGAAAAAAUAAUUGCCAUAUCUUUCUUGUAAUAUCUUUUUCACUGCAGAUAUGAGUUUUCCUUCUGACAUAGUUCCUUUAUUAUUCCAAACAUGGUCAAAACGAAUGGAUUUUAGAAACUGAAAAAUGUGUUUAUUGAAGGUACAUGGAAAGGUACAAUCAACAUCUUCGAUUGACUUAUAUGCUAAUUUUGAAAAUUCAAAAGAGGGUCUUUAUACAAAUAUAGCCAGUAUUUAAGAAACUGCAAAAUAACAAAUAUAGAGAUUGGAUAACGACCAAGUUCUGCCAUACUGGCUAUAUUAGAAGCAUAUUUAGUGGCACCAAGUACAUAUUUACAAUAUCGAAUGUGAACCUUUUCAGGUGCAAAAUUUA
rnacentral:lncRNA from 1 species